ACCCGCUUAAUUUAAGCAUAUCAAUAAGCGGAGGAAGAGAAACUAACAAGGAUUCCCCCAGUAACGGCGAGCGAAGCGGGAAAAGUUCGAGCCUGGAAUCCCCGGCAGUUUUGCCGGAGAAUUGUGGCCGGGAGAGGUAGCUUGUGCUGCGUCCGGCGGCGCCGAAGUUGACCUGGAAGGGCACGUCGGAGAGGGUGACAACCCCGUGUGCGGCCCCGGCGGGCGUAGCCGCUGCUGCCUUCGGAGAGUCGGGUUGUUUGGGAAUGCAGCCCAAAGUGGGUGGUAAACUCCAUCUAAGGCUAAAUACUGGCACGAGACCGAUAGCGAACAAGUACC
rnacentral:rRNA from 1 species